UGUGAGGGGAGGGUGCUUUAUUCUGCCAACCCAAAUAACCAAGAUUAAAACUGGACACCAAUUAAAAUCUAAAUUUUAGGCGACUGAUUUUGAAGUUUAAUAGCCCCUCCCCAGCCCACUCCCAUUAAUAGUGGCAUCCAUGGAGAAAGGACAGAGUGAAUUGAUUCAUCAUUCAUUUUAAACUGUUGUCUCAUUCUGACAGGACAUUAGAGAAAUAGCUCAGCCUCAC
rnacentral:lncRNA from 1 species